CUGACCUUGAUGGCUCUUGCUCCCAAAUUCAACGUUUUUGAGCCAAAAGACUUCCAGCUGUGGUUCCAAGUCAAUCUGGUUGUUCUGCUGGCCAGCUUCCAUCCUGGCAGAUUGGUUGAUAUUCCCCUAAACAUCACCUGUGAAUCCUACAAUGCCAUAUUUACGGGUCUCGACCAAAGUUUGGAAUCUCUUCCGCCUCACCUCUCACAGGGUGUAAAGUCAAGCUUGGAUGCACUGAUGAAGACAUUCCAACGUUGCUCAAGGCCUCCAG